rnacentral:rRNA from 1 species
AGUUGCAUCAUUCAGUUGGGCACUCUAGCGAGACUGCCGGUAAUAAACCGGAGGAAAGGUGGGGAUGACGUCAAAUCAUCAUGCCCCUUAUGACCUGGGCUACACACGUGCUACAAUGGUUGGUACAACGAGUUGCGAGUCGGUGACGGCGAGCUAAUCUCUUAAAGCCAAUCUCAGUUCGGAUUGUAGGCUGCAACUCGCCUACAUGAAGUCGGAAUCGCUAGUAAUCGCGGAUCAGCACGCCGCGGUGAAUACGUUCCCGGGCCUU